rnacentral:rRNA from 1 species
UACGGAGGGUGCAAGCGUUAUCCGGAUUCACUGGGUUUAAAGGGUGUGUAGGCGGGUGUUUAAGUCAGUGGUGAAAUCUCCAGGCUCAACCUGGAAACUGCCAUUGAUACUAUUCAUCUUGAAUUCUGUUGAGGUGGGCGGAAUAUAUCAUGUAGCGGUGAAAUGCUUAGAUAUGAUAUAGAACACCGAUUGCGAAGGCAGCUCACUAAGCAGCGAUUGACGCUGAGGCACGAAAGCGUGGGGAUCAAACAGG